GACGAACGCUGGCGGCGUGCUUAACACAUGCAAGUCGAACGGUGAAGCGCCUUCCUUUUUGGUGGGUGUGGAUGAGUGGCGAACGGGUGAGUAACACGUGAGUAACCUGCCCCCUUCUUCUGGAUAACCGCAUGAAAGUGUGGCUAAUACGGGAUAUUCUGCGCCUGCUGCAUGGUGGGUGUGGGAAAGAUGCGCCUUUGGGUGUUUUUGGUGGGGGAUGGGCUCGCGGCCUAUCAGCUUGUUGGUGGGGUGAUGGCCUACCAAGGCGGUGACGGGUAGCCGGCCUGAGAGGGUGGACGGUCACACUGGGACUGAGACACGGCCCAGACUCCUACGGGAGGCAGCAGUGGGGAAUAUUGCACAAUGGGCGCAAGCCUGAUGCAGCGACGCCGCGUGAGGGAUGGAGGCCUUCGGGUUGUGAACCU
rnacentral:rRNA from 1 species